CUCAUGCAGCCUGCUCGCUAAGUUAAAGUUAUGAGUAAGGGAAUGCCUCACCUUCCUUGGCCUCUAUGGGCUAGCAUAGUCAGUAACAACCUACCUUCAAAUUAGAGGAAGGUAAACUGAGGAGGUGCCUCAUCACCCUCACAAAGAAUUUCCUCCUGUGCUGCCAUUUUGCUAAGAAGGAAGAACCAAAAAAAUCCAUCUAAAUAGAAGGUGCCUGAGAAAGCUUAACAUGGUUCAGAAAACAGUAUUGCUUAAGCUGACUGAUGUACCAUAACACCAUUCAGAUCACUUCCUGUUAUGCAAUAAGCCUGCAGAAUUAUCAACUGGGAUUUCAUCUGGUGACUGCAGACGUGCCAUAUGGGAGGAAAACAAGUAUUUAGUAAAACAAAACCUGUGAUACAAAUGUGUAAAUUACUGACACCCUGGAGGGACGGGAUGCCAUCCAGAGGCGCUGUGAAAGGGUUGAGAGGUAGGCCUGUGAGAAACUCAUGAAGUUCAAUAAUGGCACUGCACCUGGGUCAGGGCAACCCCAACACAAUACAGGCUGGGCAGAGUGGGUUGGCAGCUGCUCUGAGAGAAGGACUUGGGAGUGUUGGUGGAUGAGAAGCUCAACAUCUCCUGGCAACGUACACUUGUAGCCCAGAAUGGUAUCCAUAUCCUGGGCUGUGCCAAAGGAUUUCUGAUCAGCAGGUCAUGGGAGGAGAUUCUUGCCUUCUGUUCUGCUGUGGUGGGACCUUACCUGGAGUGCUCCAUCCAGGCCUGCAUCCCCCACCAUAAGAGGGACAUGGAACUGUUGGCAUGAGCUCAGAGGAAGGCCAUGAAGCUGACCCAAGGGAUGAGGAACCUCUUCGGUGAGGAAAGGCUGAGAGAGGUGGGGCUGUUCAGUCUGGAGGAGUCUCAGUCACUUCUGGUGGGGAUACCUUAUAGCAAUCUUCUGGUACCUGAAGGGCACCUACAGGAAAGUUGGAGAGGGGCUUUUUCAAAGGCAGCCUUGUUCCAGUUCUUUGUGCCUUAUCGCUGAUCACUGGAUUGAAGAAACCAGCACCUCCCCAUCCGCUGCCCACCUUGAGGAAGCUGUAAACAACAUGAGACGUUUCACCAUCCUAAUGGCCCUCUUCUGGAUGCUCCCUAGUACCUUAUUUCUCAUUAGGGAGCCCAAACCUGCACACAGCAUUUGAGG